ACUCCUGCUGCUUGCCUUUGUAUUAUGUCUUUUUUCCAUCCCAUAAAUGACAAUCUGUUGGUUUAGUUAGACAUAUCCACUAACCUUCAAGUAUUUGGAUCAGUCUAAUGUAAGAAAGUCAUUUAUUCAUUUAUCUGACGCUUCUGUCCAAAGUGACAAAUAAUGAAGAACAAUUAAGAAACAGUGGGAAUAGGAGACAAUACUGUAAUGAUGAUGAGUACUAUCUUGCAGAAGAAAUAGAGUAACAGCUCAGAGUCAAGUUGAGUCAGGGAUGUAGAUAAGAUUGACAGACAGGAUAAAGUGGAACAUCAUGCAAUCACAAAGACCUCACAUGGUGCUCGAAGAAAGCCUCCAACCGGGCAGCGAUACUACACUCACCAGCACGCCGGACUCAAAGUCCUCUGCCCGAGCCUCGCUAGCUUCCCCGACUCGUCUUGAAAAACCAAAGCAAGGCCAGCUGGAAGAAAGGCCUUUUCAAGGCAGCCAAAUGAGUGCGUACAGGAUUACGCCUGGCGGCGCCACUGAUCGUCCACCUCCGACGCUCUUGGGAUCGCCCCUUCUCGGCGAGUUCUCUGAGAGGUGGACCGGCUCGUGUACGCCUCUCUUCCCGUUGUCGAUGAGGCGGUGGCUGUCUUCCUCGAGCAGUGGCAAGCCUCACCUGCUGACAUUACGGCCACUCUGGCAGAGAAGGCAUUCCCAUAUGUGGGGCAAUUGUGCCGGCUUAUGAACACCUCAGUGCUUCUCCAGCGCCUAGAGUAGGGAGCUGUUGAUCAGGCUGGACUCCUCGGGCACGCCUGCUCAGCUCACCACGUUGAGAAAGACCCCUGGACUUCAUGCUGUGGGUACCCUCAUGCGUCUGCCAGUUGCUCAGAGAACAUUGUCUCUCUACCCCCCCCCCCCCCCCAUGUUGUUGCUGACAACACCUUGACCUUGGCGUGCAUGCACAGACUCUCCAUAGACUCUACACACACACAGUCGAAAAGCACGGCAUUCAGCUGGUCCAUACAUAAGACACACAGAGUGGGUUUUACAGCAGGUACUUCAUGGUGCCAAAGAAAGAUGGCGGUCUCAGACCCAUCCUAUUUGACACAAACAGCAUUCAGAAUGAUCAACCAGCAUCAGGUUCUAGGUGCAUGCAAAUGAUAAUACCCGCCACAUGCAUC